GAUGAACGCUAGCUACAGGCUUAACACAUGCAAGUCGAGGGACCGGCGCAAGGGUGAGUAACACGUAUCCACCCUGCCCUUUACUUGGGGAUAGCCUUUCGAAAGAAAGAUUAAUACCAGAUAUAAAGUAUGGGGAUGCGUUCCAUUAGGUUGUUGGUGAGGUAAAGGCUCACCAAGCCUUCGUAGGAUAGGGGGUAGGAGCUGAAGGUCCACCACAUAGGAACUGAGACACGGUCCAAACUCCUACGUGAGGCAGCAGUGAGGAAUAUUGGUCAAUGGGCGCUAGCCUGAACCAGCCAAGUAGCGUGAAGGAUGAAGGCUUAUGGGUCGUAAACUUCUUGUAUAUAAGAAGAUGUAUUAUAUGAAGAAGGAUCGGCUAACUCCGUGCCAGCAGACGCGGUAAUAC
rnacentral:rRNA from 1 species